GAUGAACGCUAGCUACAGGCUUAACACAUGCAAGUCGAGGGGCAGCAGGGCGUAGCAAUACGCCGCUGGCGACCGGCGCACGGGUGAGUAACACGUAUCCAACCUGCCCUCAACUCAGGGAUAGCCUUUCGAAAGAAAGAUUAAUACCUGAUGGCAUGGCGGUCCCGCAUGAGACCUCCAUUAAAGAAAUUCGGUUGAGGAUGGGGAUGCGUUCCAUUAGCUUGUUGGCGGGGUAACGGCCCACCAAGGCUUCGAUGGAUAGGGGUUCUGAGAGGAAGGUCCCCCACAUUGGAACUGAGACACGGUCCAAACUCCUACGGGAGGCAGCAGUGAGGAAUAUUGGUCAAUGGACGAGAGUCUGAACCAGCCAAGUAGCGUGAAGGAUGACGGCCCUACGGGUUGUAAACUUCUUUUAUAUGGGAAUAAAGUGAGCCACGUGCGGCUUUUUGUAUGAACCAUACGAAUAAGGAUCGGCUAACUCCGUGCCAGCAGCCGCCGUAA
rnacentral:rRNA from 1 species